CUUUUAGUAUUGGUGGACGUGUGAUUGAUCAGUAUAGGAGUUCACUCAAGCAUGAUAUUGUUGAGGCAUUGGUUUGCACUAGAAAUUGGUUAUAUGGAGAGCAAGAACAAACUUCAAUGAAGGUGGAUAACGAAGAAGAUGAUGUUUUGACAUUGGAUAGUAGCGGUUCCUGUAUUGGAGUUGAAUGACAAAGAUGGGCAUGUCAAACUAACCUGCUUUGGACCCAAUCUGAUGGACAAUGAGCAUAUGUAGGUCAUUCAAGAAAUCAAGACUCAAGAGUGGACAAUUAUGAUGCAGUUUUUUGUAUUUGUAAAUUUGUAAUGAUGAUGUAGUGUUUUUUUUUUUGUUAUUUGAUUAGACAAUUAAACAUAUUAA